rnacentral:rRNA from 1 species
CCUACGGGCGGCAGCAGUGGGGGAUAUUGCACAAUGGGGGGAACCCUGAUGCAGCGACGCCGCGUGGGUGAAGGAGUGCUUCGGCAUGUAAAGCCCUAUCGGCAGGGCAGAAGCAAGCCGGUUCCUGACUAAGAAGCCCCGGCUAACUACGUGCCAGCAGCCGCGGUAAUACGUAGGGGGCGAGCGUUAUCCGGAUUCACUGGGUGUAAAGGGAGCGUAGACGGCCAUGCAAGCCAUGGGUGAAAGCCCGGGGCCCAACACCGGGACUGCCCUUGGAACUGUGCGGCUAGAGUGCGGGAGGGGUAGGCGGAAUUCCUGGUGUAGCGGUGAAAUGCGUAGAGAUCAGGAGGAACACCGGCGGCGAAGGCGGCCUGCUGGACCGCGACUGACGUUGAGGCUCGAAAGCGUGGGGAGCGAACAGGAUUAGAUACCCGAGUAGUC